GAUGAACGCUGGCGGCGUGCCUAACACAUGCAAGUCGAGCGAAUGGCCGACUAUUUCGCCUUUCUGAUGUCAGCGGCGGACGGGUGAGUUAUACGUGCCUACCCUGCCUUGAAGGCUGGCAUACCUUCGUGACACCUGAGCCCACACCCGACACUAUCUUGAACGCGAUGGUUCAAAAGUGAAAGCCGUUUUUGCUGUCACUGAGAGAUGGAUCCACGCUGCAUUGGCUAGUUGGUAAGGUAACGGCUUACCAAGGCAACGAUGCAUAGCCGAGCUGAGAGGGUGAUCAGCCACACUGGAACUGAGACACGGUCCAGACUCCUACGGGAGGCAGCAGUAGGGAAUCUUGGGCAAUGGGCGAAAGCCUGAACCAGCGACGCCGCGUGAGUGAAGAAGGUCUUCGGAUGGUAAAACUCUGUGAGGAGGGAAGAACGUCUGUGUAAUUAACUGUGCCUAUCUUGACGGUACCUACACAGUAAGCAACGGCUAACUGCGUG
rnacentral:rRNA from 1 species